rnacentral:lncRNA from 10 species
GGCGGGGCGAUUUAUAGGCCCCGCCCACCCAUCGCCUUUGCCACCCUCGAACGGGCAAAAGAAAGAAAGAGCCACCCUCGCCCCCGCCAAAACAAACAGACAAAAAACUGUCAUUCUCAUAUGACCACGGACUCUGCGCCCCGGCCGCAGGCGGAGGACAGGGAGGAGCGCACACGAGAAAGCUCCCACGCGCCCGCGCCUCGCCUCCGACGGGAAGGCGCCUCUUCCGACCGUCCUGGAUGCAAAUUAAAUACUUCCCUCCGCAGAAGACUUAUCUCGGGGUAGGGCCGCAGCCGGAUUUCCAAAUCGCGGGUUUGAUUUUCGCUGCGUCCUCUCCGCGACGCGCGCAGGGAGCGCGCCCGGCCACCUGCAGCCUCUGGCUGCGGCCAUCUUUCCGCCUGGGGCCACCUGGCCUGCGCCCUUUGUGCCCGGCCCGCUCCGUGACUGUUCUUCUUGCCGCUACUUACAGAACUCAGCCGCCUUAGCGUCUUAGAGAAGAGGACGGCAUGCAUGCGGACCCCGUCCACCACACCUGGAGAGCAGGGAGCCCUUAGUCCCUGGACACUUACCAGGGCCGCCACCCCUGGUCCACGCACGUGAUGACAUCUCACCAGGGGCAGCACACCGCCCGAGUCCGCGACACUGAUAACACCUCCUGCGGGCAGGAGGGCGCCACAGCCACCCCUGGUCCCCUAGAUUGUGUGAGGCUAGCAUUUCUGCCCGCCUCUUGGCGUGGACAGCACGCUGGACCGAGAU